AAGCUGGAGCUAACGGAGUAAGUGACGAGAAGGCAAUCAGGCUGCUGAAGUCGUGGGCUCCUCCAAAUGUG